rnacentral:rRNA from 1 species
UAGGGAAUCUUCCGCAAUGGGCGAAAGCCUGACGGAGCAACGCCGCGUGAGUGAUGAAGGUCUUCGGAUCGUAAAACUCUGUUAUUAGGGAAGAACAAAUGUGUAAGUAACUAUGCACGUCUUGACGGUACCUAAUCAGAAAGCCACGGCUAACUACGUGCCAGCAGCCGCGGUAAUACGUAGGUGGCAAGCGUUAUCCGGAAUUAUUGGGCGUAAAGCGCGCGUAGGCGGUUUUUUAAGUCUGAUGUGAAAGCCCACGGCUCAACCGUGGAGGGUCAUUGGAAACUGGAAAACUUGAGUGCAGAAGAGGAAAGUGGAAUUCCAAGUGUAGCGGUGAAAUGCGCAGAGAUAUGGAGGAACACCAGUGGCGAAGGCGGCUUUCUGGUCUGUAACUGACGCUAAUGUGCGAAAGCGUGGGGAUCAAACGGG